ACGAACGCUGGCGGCAUGCCUAAUACAUGCAAGUCGAGCGAACAGAUGAAGUGCUUGCACUUCUGACGUUAGCGGCGAACGGGUGAGUAACACGUAAGGAAUCUACCUAUAAGCGGGGAUAACAUUCGGAAACGGGUGCUAAUACCGCAUAAUAUCUUCUUCCGCAUGGAAGAAGAUUGAAAGACGGCUCUGCUGUCACUUGUAGAUGACCUUGCGGUGCAUUAGUUAGUUGGUGGGGUAAUGGCCUACCAAGACGAUGAUGCAUAGCCGACCUGAGAGGGUGAUCGGCCACAUCGGGACUGAGACACGGCCCAAACUUCUACGGGAGGCAGCAGUAGGGAAUCUUCCGCAAUGGGCGAAAGCCUGACGGAGCAAUGCCGCGUGAGUGAAGAAGGCCUUCGGGUCGUAAAACUCUGUUAUAAGAGAAGAACAAAUUGUAGAGUAACUGCUACAGUCUUGACGGUAUCUUAUCAGAAAGCCACGGCUAACUACGUG
rnacentral:rRNA from 1 species